AUGGUCUCCAGACAGCAGGUUCCAAAUCAUUCUGCCUGCACUCUGUGCAAAGUUAGCUCUUGGUUCUUUCUCCCUACUGAGCUGCCUGACAACAGGAACCUCCAAUAUUGAAAAUGCAGAGUAAAUUCUCCUGAGAGUGCCUGACAGAAAAACAAGGUGUGUCUCAGAUGGAAAGCUUAAAAAGACAUUUUUAAUGUCAGAGAUUUUGCAAAAAAGUUUGCUGUUAUAAGCCAAUGGUUCAGUAGCAUUUUCAAGAUCAGGAAAUCCUUUCACUACAAUGGAUACUUUGUAAUGCCAACAGACAGAUCCAAAAUUACACUGUGACUCAUCCAUCAGGCAUUCAAACAUUUUUACUUUCUUAAAAUGUCUGGAGUUUGAAUCAUCCAAAUCUCCAUCAAAAGAAGAAGCAAGCAAGCACUUUCUCCUCUCUGAUGGGAUGUUUUGACAAGAGGCUGUGUCUUUCGCCAGCAAACGCAGAAAUGUGUGGCAUUCAAAGAUUUUUACCUCUAAUAGAGCCUUGCAAAGAACAAAAGCACUUUGGCUAUGGUAAGAUUUUCCAUGGGCUACCGUAAUGAUGAUCAGAGACUCCUUGGAGGGUCUUCCUGCCUGGAGGGUCUAUUACCUGGGCUGAUUGUCUUCAGUAGGAGGUGAAUUGGGAGCCCACGCAGAGAUGUGCCAGGUGGAGAACUGGCCGUGCCUCAGGGAAUAUCUGUCAGAUGGGAAACUCUGCCUCUUCCUGGGUGGUACUGAUUUCAGCAUCUUGCCUUACUGACUCCUCCAUGGCACUGUGACAAAAUUCAGAUUUAUCAACACCUCUGGCAUUAGGUACUUCAACAACACAUGCAUAUGCCAAGAUCAGCCUGAAAAAAAAAAUUAUAUGAUCUGAAAUCUACAUGCAUUUCUUCCCCUUUUGAGAGAGCUUUGCUUCAUUUUUAACAAUAAUUAGAGUCUCAAAUGGCCAUGACGUCAACAGAGCACAUGAUGUGGUAUUUAGAGAGCAGCAAUUACACAGGAGUUGAAGCAAGGUCGGUAAGCAGAAGCAACACAUUUUAUUAGACUCAGUGUGGUUACAGGAAGAAACAAAUGAACUCUGGCCUUGUGUGCACUGAACAUCUUCUGAAUACCUUUUGUUUAUUUUUCCCUCUCUAGAAACCAUUCCUUUCUUCUUAUUUAAUAGAAGGAUAAAGAAACAACAGGUAAAAAAUAAGAAAAUGUUGGUUCCACCAGAAAUCAGAAAUUAUAUAUUACAUUUUCUAAAUGUUAAGAUGUUAAGUAAAAUCUUGGAUUCAA